rnacentral:rRNA from 1 species
AUGUCCCUACGGGACGCAGCAGUGGGGAAUAUUGCACAAUGGGGGGAACCCUGAUGCAGCGACGCCGCGUGAGUGAAGAAGUAUUUCGGUAUGUAAAGCUCUAUCAGCAGGGAAGAAAAUGACGGUACCUGACUAAGAAGCCCCGGCUAACUACGUGCCAGCAGCCGCGGUAAUACGUAGGGGGCAAGCGUUAUCCGGAUUUACUGGGUGUAAAGGGAGCGUAGACGGCAGAGCAAGUCUGAAGUGAAAGCCCGGGGCUCAACCGCGGGACUGCUUUGGAAACUGUUAAGCUGGAGUGCAGGAGG